rnacentral:rRNA from 1 species
AGUCAAGUAAUUAAGUGCAUGUGGUGGAUGCCUUGGCAGUCAGAGGCGAUGAAAGACGUGAUAGCCUGCGAAAAGCUCCGGGGAGGCGGCAAAUAUCCUUUGAUCCGGAGAUGUCUGAAUGGGGGAACCCACCUACUUUAAGGUAGGUAUUGCAACAUGAAUACAUAGUGUUGCAAGGCGAACGAGGGGAAGUGAAACAUCUCAGUACCCUUAGGAAAAGAAAUCAAUUGAGAUUCCCUCAGUAGCGGCGAGCGAACGGGGAUCAGCCCAUUAAGUUAUGUGUGUUUUAGUGGAACGCUCUGGGAAGUGCGAACGUAGAGGGUGAUAUUCCCGUACACGAAAGGGCACACAUAAUGAUGACGAGUAGGGCGAGGCACGUGAAACCUUGUCUGAAUAUGGGGGGACCAUCCUCCAAGGCUAAAUACUCCUGACUGACCGAUAGUGAACCAGUACCGUGAGGGAAAGGCGAAAAGAACCCCUGUGAGGGGAGUGAAAUAGAUCCUGAAACCGCAUGCAUACAAGCAGUGGGAGCACCUUCGUGGUGUGACUGCGUACCUUUUGUAUAAUGGGUCAGCGACUUAUAUUCAGUAGCGAGGUUAACCGUAUAGGGGAGCCGUAGAGAAAUCGAGUCUUAAUAGGGCGUUUAGUUGCUGGGUAUAGACCCGAAACCAGGCGAUCUAUCCAUGAGCAGGUUGAAGGUUGGGUAACACUAACUGGAGGACCGAACCCACUGUCGUUGAAAAGCCAGGGGAUGACUUGUGGAUAGGGGUGAAAGGCUAAUCAAGCCUGGUGAUAGCUGGUUCUCCCCGAAAGCUAUUUAGGUAGCGCCUCGGACGAAUACCAUAGGGGGUAGAGCACUGUUUCGGCUAGGGGGUCAUCCCGACUUACCAAACCGAUGCAAACUCCGAAUACCUAUGAGUACUAUCCGGGAGACAGACUGCGGGUGCUAACGUCCGUAGUCAAGAGGAAAACAAUCCAGACCGCCAGCUAAGGCCCCAAAAUCAUAGUUAAGUGGGAAACGAUGUGGGAAGGCAUAGACAGCUAGGAGGUUGGCUUAGAAGCAGCCACCCUUUAAAGAAAGCGUAAUAGCUCACUAGUCGAGUCGGCCUGCGCGGAAGAUGUAACGGGGCUAAAACUAUGUGCCGAAGCUGCGGAUNNNNNNNNNNNNNNNNNAUGCUGGAGGUAUCAGAAGUGCGAAUGCUGACGUGAGUAACGACAAAACGGGUGAAAAACCCGUUCGCCGAAAGACCAAGGGUUCCAGUCCAACGUUAAUCGGGGCUGGGUGAGUCGACCCCUAAGGCGAGGCCGAAAGGCGUAGUCGAUGGGAAAAUGGUUAAUAUUCCAUUACUUCUGUGUAAUGCGAUGAGAGGACGGAGAAGGCUAAAUCAGCCUGGCGUUGGUUGUCCAGGUGAAAGGAUGUAGGCAUGUAUCUUAGGCAAAUCCGGGGUACUCUAUGCUGAGAUCUGAUAGCAAGCUGUACUUGUACAGCGAAGUGGUUGAUGCCAUGCUUCCAGGAAAAGUCUCUAAGCUUCAGUUACACAGGAAUCGUACCCGAAACCGACACAGGUGGUCAGGUCGAGUAGACCAAGGCGCUUGAGAGAACUCUGCUGAAGGAACUAGGCAAAAUGGUACCGUAACUUCGGGAGAAGGUACGCUGUUGUUGGUGAUGGAACUCGCUUCCUGAGCUGACGACAGCCGCAGAAACCAGGCCGCUGCAACUGUUUAUUAAAAACAUAGCACUCUGCAAACACGAAAGUGGACGUAUAGGGUGUGAUGCCUGCCCGGUGCUGGAAGGUUAAUUGAUGGGGUUAGCGUAAGCGAAGCUCUUGAUCGAAGCCCCAGUAAACGGCGGCCGUAACUAUAACGGUCCUAAGGUAGCGAAAUUCCUUGUCGGGUAAGUUCCGACCUGCACGAAUGGCAUAAUGAUGGCGGCGCUGUCUCCAGCAGAGGCUCAGUGAAAUCGAAAUCGCUGUGAAGAUGCAGUGUACCCGCGGCUAGACGGAAAGACCCCGUGAACCUUUACUGCAGCUUGACACUGAACUUUGACCUUACUUGUGUAGGAUAGGUGGGAGGCUUUGAAGCUGGAACGCUAGUUCCAGUGGAGCCGUCCUUGAAAUACCACCCUGGUAAUGUUGAGGUUCUAACUCUGUCCCGUGAUCCGGGACGAGGACCGUGUCUGGUGGGUAGUUUGACUGGGGCGGUCUCCUCCUAAAGAGUAACGGAGGAGUACGAAGGUGCGCUCAGCGUGGUCGGAAAUCACGCGUAGAGUAUAAAGGCAAAAGCGCGCUUAACUGCGAGACCCACAAGUCGAGCAGGUACGAAAGUAGGUCUUAGUGAUCCGGUGGUUCUGUAUGGAAGGGCCAUCGCUCAACGGAUAAAAGGUACUCUGGGGAUAACAGGCUGAUACCGCCCAAGAGUUCAUAUCGACGGCGGUGUUUGGCACCUCGAUGUCGGCUCAUCUCAUCCUGGGGCUGAAGCAGGUCCCAAGGGUAUGGCUGUUCGCCAUUUAAAGAGGUACGCGAGCUGGGUUUAGAACGUCGUGAGACAGUUCGGUCCCUAUCUACCGUGGGCGCUGGAAAUUUGAGAGGAUCUGCUCCUAGUACGAGAGGACCAGAGUGGACGAACCUCUGGUGUACCGGUUGUGACGCCAGUCGCAUCGCCGGGUAGCUAUGUUCGGAAGGGAUAACCGCUGAAAGCAUCUAAGCGGGAAGCCUACCUCAAGAUAAGAUUUCCCUAGGACUUUAUGUCCUCUAAAGAGCCGUUCGAGACUAGGACGUUGAUAGGUUGGAUGUGGAAGCAUAGUGAUAUGUGAAGCUGACCAAUACUAAUUGCUCGUGAGGCUUGACUAU